CCUGGGAAAUUGCCCGGUAGAGGGGGAUAACCAUUGUGAAACGAUGGCUAAUACCGCAUAACCUCGCAAGAGCAAAGCAGGGGACCUUCGGGCCUUGCGCUACCGGAUAUGCCCAGGUGGGAUUAGCUAGUUGGUGAGGUAAGGGCUCACCAAGGCGACGAUCCCUAGCUGGUCUGAGAGGAUGAUCAGCCACACUGGAACUGGGACACGGUCCAGACUCCUACGGGAGGCAGCAGUGGGGAAUAUUGCACAAUGGGCGCAAGCCUGAUGCAGCCAUGCCGCGUGUAUGAAGAAGGCCUUCGGUUUGUAAAGUACUUUCAGUAGGGAGGAAGGUGGUUAAGUUAAUACCUUAAUCAUUUGACGUUACCUACAGAAGAAGCACCGGCUAACUCCGUGCCAGCAGCCGCGGUAAUACGGAGGGUGCAAGCGUUAAUCGGAAUUACUGGGCGUAAAGCGCAUGCAGGUGGUUUGUUAAGUCAGAUGUGAAAGCCCUGGGCUCAACCUAGGAAUCGCAUU
rnacentral:rRNA from 1 species